CGCCGCCCCCGACCCUGCCCGUGGAUUUGCUCGCGUUGCCGCCUCUCCCACCCAGGCAUCCCAUCCCUUGGCCCGUCGUCCUAUGUGCUGCCCCGUCAUCCGCUCCCGAGGAGCUGCUGCCCCGUCUGCAACCAAGGAGCCUCCGCCGUUCUGGAGUCAACUGCCUAGGAGCUGGCGAGGAGGCAACUGCAGUUCUGGAGUCGCCCCGUCGUUCUUCUUCCUCCACCAGCGACCCCUGUCCAGAUCGACACCCUUGUCCUGCCCCGACUCCAGGCCACUGAAGGGCCGGCCCUGGGGAGGGGCAGGGGGGGCGGCCGCCCCGGGCCCCCAAAAUCCAGGGGGGCCCUGAUAGUUGGCUAUAGGCCUAUGGCUCAUACUAGGCAGACGCGCGCCAGGGAGCGGCAGCUCGAUCUCCCGAUCCCAGCGAUUGAGUGUUUGAUAGCGAGCGAUCAGCGGAAUUUCCUUUCACAUAAAAAAAGAGCGAUCAAUUAGCUGCAUGGGUGAUUUCCUUCCUAUUCUGUUCGACCAUUCCAUCAGGCAGAGUCACGCAACGAUUCCAGGUCCCAGCCUAGCUGCUGGCAGCCGACGCCGCCGUGCACGCACGCACGCACUCCCGCCUGGGUGCCUCGCCGCCCCCAACCCUCUGACUCUAGGCGCUGUGCAGACCCCUGUGUAUUGUAUACGCACAUGCACUGAAGUUUGAUCAUCACUCCGUCAGGUAUUGAGAUGACGUAAUGUCUGCUAUGGAGAUUUUCGGGCAUGUCAGAGAACUUGAUUGGUAUCCUAAUAUCUUCAUUGUCUAUCACAUCUUAUUUACUGUGCUUGUGACGGUCGCAUGGCCUGAAAGAAUCUUUUCGAAGUUGAAUUAUUGAAGAAUUAUUUGAGGUCAACAAUGACUCAAGAGAGGUUAAAUGGUUUGGCUACAUUAUGCAUCGAGGAGAAAUUAUUGGAUGGGAUUGACAUCGACCUCAUCAUAUGUGACUUUGCAUCGAGGAAUGUUAGAAGAAUUUAAGGAGAAAAGAUGGAAGGAAAAAGAGGUGGAAGUGAGAUCCCUGCAUAUGAACAAUCGAGGCUUGCAAGUAUUGCAGAAAACAAAAGGAAGUUGAGAGCCUUGUUGAAAUAAAAAGAAAAUAUUUAGCAUUGGGAGGAAACACGAGGCCCUCUAGGGAAGUAGGCGGCUUGUCCCAGCGACCCAGGAAGAAAGUUUAUUCGGAGUUUUCAUUGCUACAUGUAGCUGGCUUCAAGAGUUAUGCUCGUAGCUGGCGUCAAGAGUUAUGUUUAUUUUGAAAGUGAUGCAUCCAUUAGUUGGUUUUCUAAUUAAUAGGGAAAAUAAAUUUCUUGCAGGCUGACAAACUUGACCAUGACCUGCAGAAAGACGAAAUAUUUGUGAGAGCACAUACACGUAAAAUUGGAGCUCCGCACAAGCAGAUACACUAAUUAAAUGACCUAAAGAAGCAGCUGAAAGCCGGAUGGAUGAAGUGGCGCCAAGCUUCUGGCAUUCUCUGUGACAAGAGAGUGCCACAAAAGCUAAAAGGCAAGUUCUACAGGACGGCGGUUCGACCCG